UACGUAGGCAGCGAGCGUUGUUCGGAAUUACUGGGCGUAAAGGGCGCGUAGGCGGUUUUGUAAGUCAGGAGUGAAAUCCCGGAGCUUAACUUCGGAAUUGCUUUUGAAACUACAAGGCUAGAGUGAGUUAGAGGAUGGCGGAAUUCCUAGUGUAGUGGUGAAAUACGUAGAUAUUAGGAAGAACACCGGUGGCGAAGGCGGCCAUCUGGGACUCAACUGACGCUGAGGCGCGAAAGCGUGGGGAUCAAACAGG
rnacentral:rRNA from 1 species